rnacentral:rRNA from 1 species
CGCGUAGGCGGCGUGACAAGUCGGGGGUGAAAUCUUUCGGCCUAACCGGAAAAGGGCCCCCGAUACUGGUACGCUGGAGGGAGAUAGGGGCGCGCGGAACUUCCGGUGGAGCGGUGAAAUGCGUAGAUAUCGGAAGGAACGCCGGUGGCGAAAGCGGCGCGCUGGAUCUCACCUGACGCUGAGGCGCGAAAGCCAGGGGAGCAAACG